UCGGGAGAGGUUCUCUAGCUCAACCCUCUAUAAAAAACUAAGGGAAU
rnacentral:ncRNA from 2 species